rnacentral:rRNA from 1 species
UACAGACGGGGCAAGCGUUAUUCGGAAUUAUUGGGCGUAAAGGGCGCGUAGGCGGCCUGGCAAGUGGAAGGUGAAAUCCCUCGGCUUAACCGAGGAACUGCCCUCCAAACUGCUUGGCUUGAGUCCGGGAGAGGUGAGUGGAAUUCCCAGUGUAGCGGUGAAAUGCGUAGAUAUUGGGAGGAACACCAGUGGCGAAGGCGGCUCACUGGACCGGAACUGACGCUGAGGCGCGAAAGCGUGGGGAGCAAACGGG